GACAGAGGUGCCGAGCGUUAGGCGGAAUCACUGGGCUUAAAGCGUGUGUAGGCGGGCCGUUAAGUAUCUUGUGAAAUCCCCCGGCUCAACCGGGGAAUGGCUGGAUAUACUGGCGGUCUUGAGCGAUCUAGGGGCAGAUGGAACAAGUGGUGGAGCGGUGAAAUGCGUAGAUAUCUGGAAGAACACCAGUGGCGAAGGCGGUCAACUGGCCCAUAACUGACGCUCAGGCACGAAAGCGUGGGUAGCGAACAGG
rnacentral:rRNA from 1 species